CGAAGAGUCAACAACGUUUGACACAGGUACUCAUGUGGAGUUCCUCAUAGUAUUCCCGACUCCUGUAAUUUGAUCGUGCAGGAGUAGCAGUCCAAAUAAAUAUUAAAACAUGGAUGCACAAAAUGAUGUUAAUCGGGGAGAAUUCACGUGGAAAAUCAGCUACUUCACUGAGCAGGAUGCAAAAAAGCUUUACUCUGAAGCAUUUACAGUUUCCGGUUGUAAAUGGAGAAUUAUCUUAUACCCCAAGGGGAAUGCCACGGAACAUUUGUCGCUGUACCUUGAUGUCCCUGAUUCUGCAACGUUGCCGAACGGGUGGACCAGAAAUGCCGAGUUCAGCUUGAGUGUGAUCGAUCAAAUCAAUGAUGUUCGCACCAUUA